CUACGGGAUGCUCCAGUGAGGAAUAUUGCACAAUGGGGGGAACCCUGAUGCAGCAACGCCGCGUGGAGGAUGACGCAUUUCGGUGUGUAAACUCCUUUUAUAUGUCAAGAAAAUGACGGUAGCAUAUGAAUAAGCACCGGCUAACUCCGUGCCAGCAGCCGCGGUAAUACGGAGGGUGCAAGCGUUACUCGGAAUCACUGGGCGGAAAGGACGCGUAGGCGGGUUGGAAAGUCAGGUGUGAAAUCCUACAGCGUAACUGUAGAACUGCACUUGAAACUUCUAAUCUAGAGUAUGGGAGGGGGAGAUGGAAUUAGUGGUGUAGGGGUAAAAUCCGUAGAUAUCACUAGGAAUACCUAAAGCGAAGGCGAUCUCCUGGAACAUUACUGACGCUAAGGCGUGAAAGCGUGGGGAGCAAACAGGAUUAGAUACCCCAGUAGUC
rnacentral:rRNA from 1 species